UGGGGAAUAUUGGACAAUGGGCGCAAGCCUGAUCCAGCCAUGCCGCGUGGGUGAAGAAGGCCUUCGGGUUGUAAAGCCCUUUUGUUGGGAAAGAAAAGCAGUCGGUUAAUACCCGAUUGUUCUGACGGUACCCAAAGAAUAAGCACCGGCUAACUUCGUGCCAGCAGCCGCGGUAAUACGAAGGGUGCAAGCGUUACUCGGAAUUACUGGGCGUAAAGCGUGCGUAGGUGGUGGUUUAAGUCUGUUGUGAAAGCCCUGGGCUCAACCUGGGAAUUGCAGUGGAUACUGGGUCACUAGAGUGUGGUAGAGGGUAGCGGAAUUCCCGGUGUAGCAGUGAAAUGCGUAGAGAUCGGGAGGAACAUCCGUGGCGAAGGCGGCUACCUGGACCAACACUGACACUGAGGCACGAAAGCGUGGGGAGCAAACAGGAUUAGAUACCCUGGUAGUCCACGCCCUAAACGAUGCGAACUGGAUGUUGGGUGCAAUUUGGCACGCAGUAUCGAAGCUAACGCGUUAAGUUCGCCGCCUGGGGAGUACGGUCGCAAGACUG
rnacentral:rRNA from 1 species